GGUUUGUAGCUCAGUGGUAAAGUGCUUGCCUAGCAUGAGUGAGGCCCUGGGUUUGAUUCUCAGCACCA
rnacentral:tRNA from 1 species